GGGCGUUUAGCUGGCUGGUAGCUUUGAAGGCGUUAGCCUUCGAAGCCGAAGCAGAGCAUCUGCCUUACAAGCAGAGGGUCGGCGGUUCGAAUCCGUCAACGCCCA
rnacentral:tRNA from 2 species